rnacentral:rRNA from 1 species
UGAGGAAUAUUGGUCAAUGGGCGCAAGCCUGAACCAGCCAUCCCGCGUGCAGGAAGACGGCCCUACGGGUUGUAAACUGCUUUUCCAGGGGGAGAAACUUGCGCACCUGUUGCGCAAUUGACGGUACCCUGGGAAUAAGCAUCGGCUAACUCCGUGCCAGCAGCCGCGGUAAUACGGAGGAUGCGAGCGUUAUCCGGAUUCAUUGGGUUUAAAGGGUGCGUAGGCGGACUAUUAAGUCAGUGGUGAAAUCCUGCAGCUUAACUGCAGAACUGCCAUUGAUACUGAUAGCCUUGAGUUUGGUUAAGGUAGGCGGAAUGUGUAAUGUAGCGGUGAAAUGCUUAGAUAUUACACAGAACACCAAUUGCGUAGGCAGCUUACUGAGCCGACACUGACGCUGAGGCACGAAAGCGUGGGGAUCGGACAG